rnacentral:rRNA from 1 species
AUUGAACGCUGGCGGCAGGCCUAACACAUGCAAGUCGAGCGGAUGAGGGAAGCUUGCUUCCCGAUUUAGCGGCGGACGGGUGAGUAAUGCCUAGGAAUCUGCCUAUUAGUGGGGGAUAACGUUCCGAAAGGAACGCUAAUACCGCAUACGUCCUACGGGAGAAGGCGGGGGAUCUUCGGACCUCACACUAAUAGAUGAGCCUAGGUCGGCUUAGCUAGUUGGUGAGGUAACGGCUCACCAAGGCGACGAUCCGUAGCUGGUCUGAGAGGAUGAUCAGCCACACUGGAACUGAGACACGGUCCAGACUCCUACGGGAGGCAGCAGUGGGGAAUAUUGGACAAUGGGCGAAAGCCUGAUCCAGCCAUGCCGCGUGUGUGAAGAAGGUCUUCGGAUUGUAAAGCACUUUAAGUUGGGAGGAAGAGUUGUAAGCUAAUAUCUUGCAGCUUUGACGUUACCAACAGAAUAAGCACCGGCUAACUUCGUGCCAGCAGCCGCCGUAAUAC